CAGAGAGCCCAGUCCCCUCAGCCGAGGAGGCUGGAGCCCUGCCCGGAUGCGCUGGAAUGGCCGAUAUGGAACACGGGUAAGGCUGCUUCUGAGUCUGAAGUGAUGCUUUUUCUGGGCUAAGCUGGUUCUUCCUGGGCACUGGUGGGGAGAAACAAGUUGUCUUUGAGUUGCUGGCUUUUUCCUGGCUUUGAUUUUCUGCCUGCUAAGGACGGAAGGAGGAGGUUGGGCCUCUGGAUUCGCUGAUGAAGCUGACAGCGAUUCCCGUGGACCCCGGACCAGAAGGCAGCAGGGAGGCAAAAAAUCCAGGGUGAGCAGGUUUGACACCAAAGCAACGUGUAAGAGGCAGGGCGUAGGCAUCCCUUGGUGCUGCCGUGAGUCUCAAAGGCUGUUUCAUUUUCUAACUUAGCCGUUCACAGGAGUUUGGGGCUGCCGCUGUGGGGUUGCUGUAAGCCAGCUGUUAAGCCGAUGUAACUCAGUCGACCCCCUCGGAAAGGGUCUAAUAUGUGCUGGUGUUUUCAAAGGGCAAACCGCCGCAGCUUGGUAUGCCGUUAAUAGCUCUGUUCAGGAAUGUGGGAACAGUUCAGAGCUGCCGGCUAUAAAGUUUUACUGCCCCAUAAAAGUGUUCAGAGGGUACUAAGGCCGAGAAAGAAGGAAAGGAGAGAAGAUCAGAGCUUUGUCCUUGACCAGCCAAGAGAGAAGCCCGCCAAGCUAGGGGACAUCACGUGAGAGGUCGGGGCGAGCCUGGAAAGGGGCUUGGCCAGCCCUCCUCGACUCAUGUCUGGUUUUGCGGGUGUGUGGAUGAGCCUGGGAGAAGAAUCGGGUCGGGGUGCAUUAUUUCAUCCUCCCGGACGCCCCCUUUGGCGGAGGGAGACACCUGUCCCGGGGUAAGUGCGUGGUUGCUGGGCUACAGGUAGGGGCGAGGGGAUGGACCGGCGAACGUCCCGGAAAUUGCUCUGGAAAUUCCUGCCAGGGUGAACAGAAAAAUCACCCUGGCAGCUCCUAUGGGAGGAUUUUGUCCUUUCCUUUCUGAAGUCAGUGACCUCCGACUCUGUUUGAUUUAGACAAGAGCCUGGAAAACGGAACAGGUGUGGUUUGAUUUUUAGAAAAAGCAAAGGGUGAAUCCUGGGGCUGUAAUACAUCGGCUGCUUUAUAAAUGUCCCCAUCUGCCCCCAUCCCCAGACUUUGUAUUUGUUAUCUGGACACAGCACGUUUAAAGCCAACACGACUUGGGGCUCCCAGAGGAAUGAAAUCAGAUGCAAAGGUUAUUUUAUUUGUCUGAAUGAAUUUGACCCAAAGCAUUACGAACAUUGCAGCGCAGUGAAAACACCAGGUGGUUCCCAAGGGAGGCCAGGACCCUCUGCAGGGGUGGGAGGGCUCAGAAAAGGGGGGUGAGCUGCCCUGUGCAGUGAUCUCAUUCAGGGACAGAACUCCCCGCCCUGCCAGGGCUGUCCCAGGUGGGGUGGAGGCUCAGCCGGUAGAGUACAGGUGAGGGCCCCACCCUCCCCUCUCGGCCUCCCAAAUCCUGGUGAGAAAGGAUGAGGUCAAUUCCAAGAGACCCCACAAACACAAAGACAGCACCUGCCUGGCUUCUUCUGUCAGAAUGGUGAGCACCCCAGGCUCUGGGAGUUUCAGACACUUAGAGCAUCAGUUUUAGAUACAGAAUGUAUACAGACUCAUACUAAAAUAGGAGAUGUAUGGGGAGUUCCUGCUGUAAUGCAGCAGGUGAAGGAUCCCAUGUUGUGUCUGCAGUGGCUUGGGUUCGGUCCCCAGCCCAGCACAGUGGGUUAAGGAUCUGGCAUUGCCACAGCUGCGUAGGUCAAAGCUGCUGCUCGGAUUCAGUCCCUAACCUGGGAACUUCCAUAUGCCCCAGGAUAUGAUACAAAGCGAUAUUCCUGGAGUUCUCAGCAGGUUAGGGAUCCAGUGUUGUCACUGCAGUGGCUCAGGUUGCUGCUGUGUGGCAUAGUUUCGGUCACUGGCCUAGGAAUUUCCACAUUAUUUUAAAAAGUAAUUUUCCUCUAUUGUUAUAAAUACCAAGGGCUAUUUUCAUGGGCUUAUGAACCCAAAGAAACAGGCACAUUUAUUGCCCUCAUUUUACAAAGAAAGAAACUGGGACACAGAGAGGUUAAGUAACUUGCAAAAAGUCACACAGCUAGUAAGUGACCUGAAAUGAAAGUGAAUCAUGAGGACGGUAUAAAGUCCUCUGUGUUAUGAAGUGAAGCUUGUCUGUGGAAUAUAGCUGGCAUUCACAUUCAUAGCUUGUCAAGAAUCUAUCUAAUCACCGCCACCAAAAUGUGACCUGUGGGAUGUUAAUUGGCAGCUGGGAAGGGAAGCCAAGAACCACUUCCUUUAAGUUGGUGAGCAAGCCGAAGAACAGCAGUGUGCCGAGAGCCGGGAAAGCCAGCUGAGGGAGGCGCUUGGGCCUGGCCCUGUCACACUACGGGGGGCGGGGGGGGGUGCUGUGCUGUGUGGUGCAGAGCCUUGGGAGGGGAUGACACACCAAAGAAAGAGCUUUGGAGUUCCAGUUGCGGCACAGUGGAAAUGAAUCCCAAGUAGCAUCCAUGAGGAUAUGGGUUCGAUCUGUGGACUCACUCAGUGGGUCAGGGAUCCGGUGUUGCCAUGAGUUGUGGUGUAGCUUGCAGAUGUGGCUCAGAUCCCACAUGGCUGUGGCUAUGGUGUAGGCCAGCAGCUACAGCUUCAAUUCAACCCCUAGCCUGGGCACCUCCAUAUGCCGUGGGUACGGCCCUAAAGAGCAAAGAAAGAAAGAAAGAGCUUUGAUUCAGAUACUCCUGGUUCCAGCCUCACCUUUGCCCUUUUCUUGUGUCAUACUAGGCAAGGUGCUCCAUCACACCAAGCCUCAGCCUCCUCAGCUAGAAGACAAGGGGGACAAUAUCUAUUGCACUGGACCAUUGUGAGAACUAAGGGCAGUAACUGGUAAAUGAUCUUUGCACAGUGCGCAGCACAUAGCAAAUGCUCCGUGAACAGCAAUCCUUCUAUUGUGACUGCACGCAGCAACUCAGUGAUAGUUCUGAAAACUAACCAAGUUUGCUGAAUGCCUCUUUGGUUUACCUGUGACAUUUAGGGAUGGCGAGAGGAUGCUGAGUAGUGGCAAGAACAGCAGGCUGGACAUUAGCAAGCUUGUUCAUGUCCAGUCUCCACCACGGCCAUUGUGUAGCUGUGGACCCUGGCUUUCUGAUCUGUCCAUGUGGCCACAUAGUCAAGGUGUGUUUCAGCUUCUGAUCUAUGACUCUCAACGGGGCAGAAAUCUCCCUCACAGGGACUCAUAAGCAUAAAUUAAAUACAGUUUGAAACUACCCUGGCUUAGUGUUGAUCAUGCUUAUCCAUGUUGAGUUCAUCAAGAACUAGUAGGCGUUUCCCUGGUGGCCUAGAGGUUAAGGACUUGGUGUUGUCACUGCUGUGGCUCAGGUUCAGUCUCUGGUUUGGGAACUUCUGCAUGC
ensembl:lncRNA